GACGAACGCUGGCGGCGUGCUUAACACAUGCAAGUCGAACGGAAAGGCCCUGCUUUUGUGGGGUGCUCGAGUGGCGAACGGGUGAGUAACACGUGAGUAACCUGCCCUUGACUUUGGGAUAACUUCAGGAAACUGGGGCUAAUACCGGAUAGGAUCUCCUGCUGCAUGGUGGGGGUUGGAAAGUUUCGGCGGUUGGGGAUGGACUCGCGGCUUAUCAGCUGGUUGGUGUGGUAGUUGCUUACCAAGGCUUUGACGGGUAGCCGGCCUGAGAGGGUGACCGGCCACAUUGGGACUGAGAGACGGACCAGACUCCUACGGGAGGCAGCAGUGGGGAAUAUUGCACAAUGGGGGGACGCCUGAUGCAGAGACGCCGCGUGCGGGAUGACGGCCUACGGGUUGUAAACCGCUUUCGCCUGUGACGAAGCGUGAGUGACGGUAAUGGGUAAAGAAGCACCGGCUAACUACGUG
rnacentral:rRNA from 1 species